UACAUCAGAGCCACUAAAAC
rnacentral:misc_RNA from 1 species